rnacentral:lncRNA from 1 species
AUUUCUCCCUGCAGCCUUAGUGAUGCCCAACAGUUCAGUUUCCAACUCCCGUGGUAGCUCCAGGAGAAACCAGGCAUUGGCAGACACAUUGGAAGGCAGCCACGCAGGCGGAGCUAGAAAUGGAGGAGAUAAAUACAUCUUAUGGAUUUCCCCUGUCACUCAAGUUGUGGACUAACAUAACCUCUACUCAGAAAGUCCAGAAAGCUUUUGUUUGUUUUGGUCACAAAGAAAACCUUUGAACUGUGACGUCUUUAGGAAGAAUUGUGUUCAAAUGAUGCCAGGGAACGGCCUGCACUGUCUGACCUGUUUCCUGCACUGCAGUCCACCUCUAGGCAGGACUUGGCUACCGAAUCAGUCCCUGCAUACUUGCCUCUGCGUGCUGUCAAACUGAAAUAUUUUCGAGAUAAUGUGCUAAAAUCCAAGAAUGUACUAAGUUUCCCAGUGAACAAACACCCCUGUGCUCAACCAAGUGUUGUUUGGAAAUGUUUUUUCUGAAUUGUUGGAAAUGUCUUGUUGCUAUAACGGGAAGCUGCUAGUGUGCUUCCAAUGUAUCCCUCUUCAGUUUUAGUGUAUGUUUAUUAUUAAAAACAAGCUGCUGAGAUUCAGAGUCGUGCCAACAAUCCUUCCUUCCAUGACACCCUGAAAGGUCUGCUUAUGUGGUGUAAGUCAAACCAGUAGAAAUUUGUUCUUCCAGAGGAACAAACAAGGGACUGAAGUCAUCAUGUGUAUACAGGACUGCAUGAGAUUUUUAGCUGAAUAUCUACUGGUUGCUACUCUUUUUGGAUAAAUUCCAACAAGUAAGAGAAAGAUGAAUGACCUUUGUACUCUUUCAUAAAUCUCACUUCAGUCUUUCUGUGUAACAUGUGUUUAAAGAAUGAACGUAGACAUGAUUAGAAUAUAAUCAUCAACACUAAAACUAUUUUUCCU